AAUAUUGGACAAUGGGCGAAAGCCUGAUCCAGCCAUGCCGCGUGUGCGAUGAAGGCCUUCGGGUUGUAAAGCACUUUUGGCAGGGAAGAAAAGGCUCUGGCUAAUACCUGGAGCUGCUGACGGUACCUGCAGAAUAAGCACCGGCUAACUACGUGCCAGCAGCCGCGGUAAUACGUAGGGUGCAAGCGUUAAUCGGAAUUACUGGGCGUAAAGCGGGCGCGGGCGGUUCGGCAAGAAGGAUGGGAAAGCCGAGGGCGUAACCUGGGAACGGCAUGCUUAACUGCCGGGCUAGAGUAUGUCAGAGGGGGGUAGAAUUCCGCGUGUAGCAGUGAAAUGCGUAGAGAUGCGGAGGAAUACCGAUGGCGAAGGCAGCCCCCUGGGAUAAUACUGACGCUCAUGCACGAAAGCGUGGGGAGCAAAC
rnacentral:rRNA from 1 species